rnacentral:rRNA from 1 species
GAUGAACGCUGGCGGCGUGCCUAAUACAUGCAAGUCGAGCGAACAGACGAGGAGCUUGCUCCUCUGACGUUAUCGGCGGACGGGUGAGUAACACGUGGAUAACCUACCUAUAAGACUGGGAUAACUUCGGGAAACCGGAGCUAAUACCGGAUAAUAUAUUGAACCGCAUGGUUCAAUAGUGAAAGACGGUUUUGCUGUCACUUAUAGAUGGAUCCGCGCCGCAUUAGCUAGUUGGUAAGGUAACGGCUUACCAAGGCAACGAUGCGUAGCCGACCUGAGAGGGUGAUCGGCCACACUGGAACUGAGACACGGUCCAGACUCCUACGAGAGGCAGCAGUAGGGAAUCUUCCGCAAUGGGCGAAAGCCUGACGGAGCAACGCCGCGUGAGUGAUGAAGGUCUUCGGAUCGUAAAACUCUGUUAUUAGGGAAGAACAAAUGUGUAAGUAACUAUGCACGUCUUGACGGUACCUAAUCAGAAAGCCACGGCUAACUACGUG